rnacentral:lncRNA from 1 species
GUGAUAGUGAGAUGAUUUCAGGGUUGUGUAGUGACUGACAAUUAGCUAGAAUUUUUUUUGUCCUCUGUAAUUGUUAUGAAACAAUUAUUUAUAGCCAAAUGUUCAAGUAUCGGUCACUGUAAUGUAUCCACUAGUCUAGGUCUGAUCCCAAACGACGUCGUCACCUCAGGUCACUAUUACAUCAGAAGGGACGCUUCCUGUUAUUAUGACAUCACCUCCAGUACCGUUAGCAGAGUCGGUGGGUUUACUGUAUGCGAUGUUUUUAAAUGUUCUGCCGAGUCACUACUGAGACGAAUCAUGGGAAACCGACGGAGGAAGAGAGGGCGAGAACACAAAGAUUCUUACGGGAUUAAGAUCUCUGAGCUGCUGACCCAACUGGCUGUGAGAACCACACCCCCUAAUGGGCCCCUCCCCCGUAACAUCAGCCUCCUCCCCUCCUUCACCCUCCCCGCAGUCCGAGAAACGACCGACACCACCCGCUCCAAGGCCCAGCUCCCAGAAUGCAUCACGAGACUCUCAGACACCCAGUGUCGGAAGUGGUACCACCAGAGACCAGCCACGCCCUUCUCCUCCUCUACCCCCACGCCAGCCCUUAACCCUAGGCCUGCCCCCAACACCCCGGGACACACCACUGGUCUCGCCUCCACCAAUAGCAGCCAACCAAGGAGCAAGAGACCCAGCCUGGUUUCCCCUGAUUUGUUUUUCCUACCCUAUCUUGCGGCAUGGAGGACUGCGAAGAGCUGUGAUUCGCUGUCAUUGGUGAGGGAUUUGUUCCAGAAGGGUGAGGUAUGUAAUGUUGAGGGGAUUCUGUUAUUGCUCCGUGUGAAACGAGUUAGCGUUGAUUUAUGCCCCGAGCCUGCCCCAGGUUAAGGUGACUCAAAUUGGGUUUUGCUCCUAGCAGAACUCGGCUAGACGAAGGGAAUGUCUGUGCCUCGCAUCACUGAAAAACACCUUAGCGGCAAUAUUAUUGUUUGUCCCUCUUGAGACGUCGUAGCAACAACAUAUCCAGUACACACUUCCUUAAAAUAGCUUGAAUGAGUCUAAGGUAAAUCAAGACAUUUUUAAUAAAUGUUUGCUUUUGCCGAGGUCUUCGUUGCGCAAUUUUACAUCUAAGAUGUUUGGCGCCGUAUUUCUCAAGGAAAAAAAUGUCCACGAAAACUGGUGACUGGGAGGCACUGGUAGUUUAACUGGGAGGCACUGGUAGUUUAACUGGGAGGCACUGGUAGUUUGACUGGGAGGCAGUGGUAGUUUGACUGGGAGGCACUGGUAGUUUGACUGGGAGGCAGUGGUAGUUUGACUGGGAGGCAGUGGUAGUUUGACUGGGAGGCACUGGUAGUUUUUGACGGGGAGGCAUGGUAGUUUGAGGUGGGGUGGGUUGGUGGGUGUGGGAGUGUGGUAGUUUUGACUGGGAGGCAGUGGUAGUUUGACUGGGAGGCAC